CCCUAUCGAGCUUUACUGGAUACCGAUAGCGUUAAUUUAGAAUGAUAGAUACUAAGUAUCCUAAUCCCUAAGUUAAUAAUUUUUGUUGGUCGGACAGUUUAGUUGGGGCGACUACCUUUGAAUAAGAAACGAAGGCGAGCUUAUGGUAUUAUUAAAAAUCUCAUUAGCCUCACAGUGAGGGGGACACCCCGAGCUGGCACAAGGACUUUACCCUCAUAGUAUAUUAUAUGCGUAAGGGGCUCCUAUGUGGGCGAUAGUGACCCGAUAUGAUUAUCCAAAAUAAAUAUCGAAAGCGGAUAAAAGCUACCGUAGGG
rnacentral:rRNA from 1 species